UCAAAAGUGAAAGACGGUCUUGCUGUCACUUAUAGAUGGAUCCGCGCUGCAUUAGCUAGUUGGUAAGGUAACGGCUUACCAGGGCAACGAUGCAUAGCCGACCUGAGAGGGUGAUCGGCCACACUGGAACUGAGACACGGUCCAGACUCCUCCGGGAGGCAGCAGUAGGGAAUCUUCCGCAAUGGGCGAAAGCCUGACGGAGCAACGCCGCGUGAGUGAUGAAGGUCUUCGGAUCGUAAAACUCUGUUAUUAGGGAAGAACAUAUGUGUAAGUAACUGUGCACAUCUUGACGGUACCUAAUCAGAAAGCCACGGCUAACUACGUGCCAGCAGCCGCGGUAAUACGUAGGUGGCAAGCGUUAUCCGGAAUUAUUGGGCGUAAAGCGCGCGUAGGCGGUUUUUUAAGUCUGAUGUGAAAGCCCACGGCUCAACCGUGGAGGGUCAUUGGAAACUGGAAAACUUGAGUGCAGAAGAGGAAAGUGGAAUUCCAUGUGUAGCGGUGAAAUGCGCAGAGAUAUGGAGGAACACCAGUGGCGAAGGCGACUUUCUGGUCUGUAACUGACGCUGAU
rnacentral:rRNA from 1 species